rnacentral:rRNA from 1 species
AGCGACAGGCUUAACACAUGCAAGUCGAGGGGCAGCGGGGGUAGCGAUACCCGCCGGCGACCGGCGCACGGGUGAGUAACGCGUAUGCAACUUGCCUAUCAGAGGGGGAUAACCCGGCGAAAGUCGGACUAAUACCGCAUGAAGCAGGGGCCCCGCAUGGGGAUAUUUGCUAAAGAUUCAUCGCUGAUAGAUAGGCAUGCGUUCCAUUAGGCAGUUGGCGGGGUAACGGCCCACCAAACCGACGAUGGAUAGGGGUUCUGAGAGGAAGGUCCCCCACAUUGGUACUGAGACACGGACCAAACUCCUACGGGAGGCAGCAGUGAGGAAUAUUGGUCAAUGGCCGAGAGGCUGAACCAGCCAAGUCGCGUGAGGGAUGAAGGUUCUAUGGAUCGUAAACCUCUUUUAUAAGGGAAUAAAGUGCGGGACGUGUCCCGUUUUGUAUGUACCUUAUGAAUAAGGAUCGGCUAACUCCGUGCCAGCAGCCGCGGUAAUACGGAGGAUCCGAGCGUUAUCCGGAUUUAUUGGGUUUAAAGGGUGCGUAGGCGGCCUUUUAAGUCAGCGGUGAAAGUCUGUGGCUCAACCAUAGAAUUGCCGUUGAAACUGGGGGGCUUGAGUAUGUUUGAGGCAGGCGGAAUGCGUGGUGUAGCGGUGAAAUGCAUAGAUAUCACGCAGAACCCCGAUUGCGAAGGCAGCCUGCCAAGCCAUUACUGACGCUGAUGCACGAAAGCGUGGGGAUCAAACAGGAUUAGAUACCCUGGUAGUCCACGCAGUAAACGAUGAUCACUAGCUGUUUGCGAUACACUGUAAGCGGCACAGCGAAAGCGUUAAGUGAUCCACCUGGGGAGUACGCCGGCAACGGUGAAACUCAAAGGAAUUGACGGGGGCCCGCACAAGCGGAGGAACAUGUGGUUUAAUUCGAUGAUACGCGAGGAACCUUACCCGGGUUUGAACGCAUUCGGACCGAGGUGGAAACACCUUUUCUAGCAAUAGCCGUUUGCGAGGUGCUGCAUGGUUGUCGUCAGCUCGUGCCGUGAGGUGUCGGCUUAAGUGCCAUAACGAGCGCAACCCUUGCCACUAGUUACUAACAGGUAAAGCUGAGGACUCUGGUGGGACUGCCAGCGUAAGCUGUGAGGAAGGCGGGGAUGACGUCAAAUCAGCACGGCCCUUACAUCCGGGGCGACACACGUGUUACAAUGGCGUGGACAAAGGGAAGCCACCUGGCGACAGGGAGCGAAUCCCCAAACCACGUCUCAGUUCGGAUCGGAGUCUGCAACCCGACUCCGUGAAGCUGGAUUCGCUAGUAAUCGCGCAUCAGCCAUGGCGCGGUGAAUACGUUCCCGGGCCUUGUACACACCGCCCGUCAAGCCAUGGGAGCCGGGGGUACCUGAAGUCCGUAACCGCGAGGAUCGGCCUAGGGUAAAACUGGUGACUGGGGCU